AUUGCUUCUUGGCCUUUUGGCUAAGAUCAAGUGUAGUAUCUAUUUAUAUCAAUUUAAUAUCUGAUACAGCCUCUAUUCAAGGACAAUAUAGCAACUGGAUUUUUGGAGCAGGGAGUUGGAAUAGGAGCUUGGUCCAUUCACUCCAAAAAAAAAGAGAACUUUUGUACUUAAA
ensembl:snRNA U2 U2 spliceosomal RNA